rnacentral:tRNA from 1 species
AAAAGUAGUUUAUAUUACAAUUUAAGCUUUGGGAGUUUAAGGUGCUUGUGAAAGCUUUCUAGUUU